CCCUUAGAUGAUCUGGGCUGCACGCGCGCUACACUGAAGCUAUCAACACGUUUUCCCUCCCUGAGAAGGGCGGGUAACCUUUUGAAUCAGCUUCGUGGUAGGGAUCGGGGCAUGCAAUUGUUCCCCGUGAACCAGGAAUUCCUAGUAGACGCGAGUCAUAAGCUCGCAUCGAUUAAGUCCCUGCCCUUUGUACACACCGCCCGUCGCUACUACCGAUUGAACGUUUUAGUGAGGCAUUUGGACCGACGCAUCUCAGUUUAACCGCUGGUUUGUGUUGGAAAGACUUCCAAACUUGAGCGUUUAGAGGAAGUAAAAGUCGUAACA
rnacentral:rRNA from 1 species